UGGUAUCGGAAUUUAAUCAUUUUAGUAUGGUUGAACUCGUAUCGGAAUGGGUGUUCGGGUUUUGUAAAAUUUGUCGGGUUCCGAGGUGCGGGCCCGAGGGUCAACUUUUGGGUCGAUUUUUAGAUUUUGAUAAAGAUUGAAGCUUUAUGAUCCGGAAUAGUUUCGUAUGAGUUUUAUUUGUGCUUUGAAGUUAUUUUGGUUAGAUUUGAGCUGCCCGGAGGUCAUUUCACCCGAGAAGUUCAUUUUAGAGUAUCGGUUUGUCUUCUUUGAGGUAAGUAUCUUGCCUAACUUUGUGUGGGGGAACUACCUCUUAGGAUUUGAGUCUUCUAUACUAAUUGUAGUCCGUGUACGCGAGGUGACGAGUACUUACUCGGAUUUAUUUAUGGAAAGUUGGACUUUAUGGGUUGUUAGGUCCUUGUAUUCACUGAAUAUGCAGUUGUUCUCGUUAUGAUUACGUUUCUGAAUUACUAGUUUCACCUUUACCUGUUUUAAUUAGAAUUAAUUACUUCAUGAUCCGCCCUUGAUGAUUAUUUGAGUCAUCUGUGCCUUAACUGAAAUUGUUAUCUCUUCUAUUGCCAUGUUAUCUUUCCCCUAACUGCUUGUCUUUAUUUGAAGUUGUAGUUAUCCCUUUUGUAAAUGUUCACCCUUAAUUGAGGUUAUGGUUAUCUUUCUGCCGCCUACCUUUAUUUGAAUUUGUUGCAUCUCUUUCGUAAUUUUCCAAACUUAAAAGAAGCUUAGAUAUCCUAUGCCUUAGUUGAUUUGCCCUUAUUUAGAAUUAUUUGACUCGUGUUAGUUUUCUUGUUGUUGAACCGUAUAUUGUGGGAUCAUUGUUACAUAUUAUUUUCUUCCCUGUUGAGCUGUUCUUAUUACGCCUAUUAUUCUUUAUUAUGGCUAUUCCUUGCGAACUAGUUUUACCCUUUCUUGUGAUCGAAGGUUCUUGAGUUGAUUUAUUUGUCGUACCCUUGUAUUAGUGUUAUUGUUGAUGUUGUACUUGUUGUUCUUGCAUAUUUACUUUGGGACUAUGAGGCGGUACCUCGGGAGAUCCCCCUGUCUUGCAUAUUUACUUUUGGGACUAUGAGGCGGUAUCUCGGGAAUGCCCUUUGUUGACAUCUCUUUGUUAUGGGGUUGCACGAGGUUUCUGCCAUGCUAUUGUUAUUAUUGAUAUUUGCACAUGCGGCGUGACAAGGCGGGAUAUAUAUAUGUGGGUUGCGCAUGUGGUGAGACAAGGUGGAACAUUAUUAUGCAUGUGUGGCGCGACAAGGCGGGCAUUUACUUUACUAUUGCACACGCGGUGAGACAAGGGGGGAUGUGUCAGGGAUUGAUUGUGAUGAUUUGUGAUGGCCUAGAGGCAUUCUUGUUGUAGAUAUUUAAGUAGUGGUACACUUAUUUGUGUGAGCUUUAUCUUGUGAAAGUUGUGAGGAAACAUUCUACGUGUUGUCCGUUCUUUUCUCUUAUGCUCACUAGCUGGUAUGAACUAUGUUAGGAUACUUACACAAGCAUAUACAUAGUUAAGCACUCUUAUCGGAUAAGAGGUUUUCUUGAUAUUGUUGAGUAUAGAUGUACACCCUUGCUUAUUUGCCUUCUAUGUGAGAAUGGAUCUAUUUGGCACGCGAGUCGUCAGUGCGAGUAUAAGGUGUAAUGAGGGCAAGGAUGCCAAGUAUUAGGGUUCAGAUAUUGAGACCUGUGAGUUGUGAUUUGUCCGAGGUUCGGUACCUCGUGGAGUUUGUUGACUAAAACCUGAUGUGAAAAUGGUCGUUGUUGCUGAGUUAUUAAUUGUCCUUGAUAUAUCUGUGAUUUAGGAUUUAGGUUGAGUUUAUGUUCACCCUUCUGUCUCAUUAUUAUGGUAUUCCGUUGAUACUUGUUGAUGUCCUUUCCUAUUGCAAUUACUGUAUUGUUAGUCAUAUCGCGUAGUCUUUAUGUAGAUAUUAUACUCUGUUAUUUCUAUACUUAUACCUUGUUCAGGUUAUUUAGUCCAGUAGAUGUCUUGACUGUUCCUCGUCACUACUCUAAUGAGGUUAGUCUUGAUACUUACUGGGUACCGUCNNNNNNNNNNNNNNNNNNNNNNNNNAUGCUCCGGUACGGAGGUGUGAGCAGCUGGUUACGGAGGGCACGAGAAGAGGUAGAGGGCGGCCUAAAAAGUAUUGGGGAGAGGUGAUCAGGCAGGAUAUGGCGAGGCUCUAGAUUUCCGAGGACAUAACACUUGAUAGGAAGAUGUGGAGGUCGAGUAUUAGGGUUGUAGGUAAGGAGGUAGUUGAGUCGUGCCUUACUUCGUAACAUGGUGGGACUAGCCAUGUAGGGGUUUUGUCUAAGAUAACUAGUGGGAAUGUUGUGGCUUGCUAUUUCGCUUUUUAGUGCAGGUCCUAUUUACUAGCUAUCGCUUUUGCUCUACAUCUUUCUUCUAGAUUUCAUGAUGUUCCUAUUUUUCUUAUGACUGUUGUGAUGAUACUAAUAUUUACUAAUAUUGUCUUCCUUUACUUUGCAUCUUUCUUCUGAAUUUCAUGGUGUUCCUAUUUAUCCAAUGAUUGUUGUUGUGAUACUAAUAUUGUCUCCUUUUUUUCCCUUUUGUCUUUUUGUUUUUUUGAGCCGAGGGUCUUUCGGAAACAGGCUCUCUACUCCUUCGGGGUAGGGGUAAGGUCUGUGUACACACUACCCUUCCCAGACCCCAUUAGAGGGAUUUUACUGCGUUGUUGUUGUUGUUGUAUAUUCCAUGCACGUACUAUAGAAAAAUUAAUUUUAAAUAAAGGUAUUUUUGUGAUAUACAUUGCAUAUUCUUGAAUAUUAUGCUCAAUUUGUUUUUUGGUAAAUAAGUAACUUUAUUACCAAGGGAAAAAUAUGUACAAUAAAAAAUAAAAAAUAAAAAAACCUAGAGAUGGUCAGCAAUCCACCUCUAGAAACCUGCUAAAACAUUUAUCUACUAUCCCCUCCUCGCUUCUGAUAUUAUCUAUUUGUAACGACCCGGUCGAUCAUUUUGAGAAUUUAAGUCUCGUCCAGCGGCAUAAGGCCCUGAUCAGCUUUGUAUUAUGUGUAUUGACUUGCGUGCGUGGUUGAAUUCAAUUACUGGGUGAUUCGGAGUGAUUUGGGACACUUAGUUCCUAAAACGGAAGCUUAAGUCUUAGGAUUUUGACCGUAGUCGGAAUUGUGUGGAGACGACUCCGGAUUGGAGUUUCGUCGGUUCCGUUAGCUCCGUUGGGUGAUUUUGGACUUAGGGGCGUGUCCGGAUUGUGUUUUGGAGGUUUGUAGCUCAUUUAGGCUUGAAAUGGCGAAAGUCGAAUUUUCGGAGAUUUUGACUAGAAGUGGACUUUUUGAUAUCGGGGUCGGAAUACGAUUUCGAGAGUUGGAACAACUCUGUUAUGUUAUUUGGGACUUGCCUGAAAAAUUUGACGUCAUUCCGGGUUGGUUAGAUUGGUUUCAGCACGAGUUUUCGAAGUUGGAAGUUUUGGAAAUUCAUAAGUUCGAUUCGUGGUGCGAUUUGUAUUUUCGACGUUGUUUGAUGUGAUUUGAGACCUCGAGCGAGUCCGUGUUAGGUUAUGGAACUUGUUUGUGUGUUUAGACGGGGUCGCGGGGGCCUCGGGUGUGUUUCGGAUGGGCUACGGGCUAUUUCGUUCUAUUUUUGAACUGUUGUUUUCUGUCAUCUGGUUUCCUAAAUCGCGUUCACGUCCCUUCCUUUGCAUUCGCAAAGAGUAAUUUUGGAGGAGGAAUUCAUUGUUCUUCGUGUUCGCAUGAUCACGUUCGCGAUCGCGAAAGUCCGCUUUCUCCUUCUUCGCGUUCGCAUCUAUUCCCUCGCAUUCGCGUUGUAGAAAUUGGGGGUUGUUGGCUAUUUCUUCUUCGCGUUCGCGUAAGUUCUGUUUCUUACCCUUCGCGUUCGCGCCCCUUAGCUUGCGUUCGCGUAGGGUUAUCCUGGCAGCCUACAUUUUUCUUCUUCGCGAACAUGAUCCUUUCUCCGCAUUCGCGAUGCUUUGACGCCUGGGCAGAAUAUAAGAUCUUCAAAUCGAGGGUUAGGCCAUUUUCAUCAUAUCUUGACUUGUAGAGCUCGGUUUUGAGCGAUUCUUUGUGGGUUUUUCAAGAAAAUCGAUUGGGUAAGUGUUCUUCACCUAGAAUUUAUUAUAUUCCAUGAUUUUAUCUUUAUUUUUAUCAUUUAAUUUGUGUUUUGAGUUGAGGAAAAUGGAGGCUUUUGAAGAAAAAAAAUUCAAAAUAAAAAAUCAUGAUUUGAGGGAUGAAUUGGUAUCGGAAUUUAAUCAUUUUAGUAUGGUUGAACUCGUAUCGGAAUGGGUGUUCGGGUUUUGUAAAAUUUGUCGGGUUCCGAGGUGCGGGCCCGAGGGUCAACUUUUGGGUCGAUUUUUAGAUUUUGAUAAAGAUUGAAGCUUUAUGAUCCGGAAUAGUUUCGUAUGAGUUUUAUUUGUGCUUUGAAGUUAUUUUGGUUAGAUUUGAGCUGCCCGGAGGUCAUUUCACCCGAGAAGUUCAUUUUAGAGUAUCGGUUUGUCUUCUUUGAGGUAAGUAUCUUGCCUAACUUUGUGUGGGGGAACUACCUCUUAGGAUUUGAGUCUUCUAUACUAAUUGUAGUCCGUGUACGCGAGGUGACGAGUACUUACUCGGAUUUAUUUAUGGAAAGUUGGACUUUAUGGGUUGUUAGGUCCUUGUAUUCACUGAAUAUGCAGUUGUUCUCGUUAUGAUUACGUUUCUGAAUUACUAGUUUCACCUUUACCUGUUUUAAUUAGAAUUAAUUACUUCAUGAUCCGCCCUUGAUGAUUAUUUGAGUCAUCUGUGCCUUAACUGAAAUUGUUAUCUCUUCUAUUGCCAUGUUAUCUUUCCCCUAACUGCUUGUCUUUAUUUGAAGUUGUAGUUAUCCCUUUUGUAAAUGUUCACCCUUAAUUGAGGUUAUGGUUAUCUUUCUGCCGCCUACCUUUAUUUGAAUUUGUUGCAUCUCUUUCGUAAUUUUCC
rnacentral:lncRNA from 1 species